CCGAGAUGCCCGCCUGCAGAGCCAGGUCGCUUCCGGGCGGGUGGACAGGGCCAGGUGAUGAAUUGGGAGUGGGAGCAGAAAAGGGGCGUCCGACCAGACCCAAAGCACCUGUGCGCAGCGCUGGACACAGUAACGGCGGCGGAGCUUCAGCUCAUCUUGCAGCUUUCCCGAGGCAGCGGCCGCGGCGGUGGAGCAGGAAAUGUUCUAAAGCUCUGUACUGAAACCACAUUAUAGCAUUGACCUCUCUUCUGAUUUUGAACAUUGAAACAAAUAAAAAUGAUCCAACAAAUAAAGAGAAAUACAUUCAUGAUGCAAAUCACUUAACUUCUCACUGUAAACCUUCAGGCAGGCUGGAUAUUCCAUAACAGUGGAGGAAAUGACAAGACACUUCAUCUGGAAGCAAAGUCAGGAGACCCAAGUUGUACCCUCCACCCCCCACAAUUGUUUUUGAAUUUUAGUGAAGCCCUUUUGCAGAAUUGCACAGUAAAUGGCAAAAAGGAAUGCCUUUCACUAUGAAUAGUAAAGAAAACCUCAAUGUGUCAUAAUUUGAACAAUCACACUGAUGCGAGUUUUUAUCCUCUCUGUUUUGUCUUACCCACCCCCAAUGCUUCCAGCACUCAACCACAGGAUAUGGGGUGCAUCUUUGGAGCAGACUGUAAUCAGACAUUCUCCCCAAAAUAUACCCAACCCUCACCCAAGGCCCUCAGAGCCUAUUUGACAAGACAGAAUCCACAAAGAAAAGAUGAGGUGUGAGUGAGUGAGUGAGUGUGUGAAGAAUCCACCUACCCCUCCAGUGCCAAGAUUCAAGAAGGGGAUUCAGAGUGAAAAUAAAAGAU